rnacentral:rRNA from 1 species
GCUUAAGCAUAUCAAUAAGCGGAGGAAAAAGAAAACCAACAGGGAUUACCCUAGUAACGGCGAGUGAAGCGGUAACAGCUCAAAUUUGAAAUCUGGUCUUCACGGGCCUGAGUUGUAAUUUGUAGAGGAUGUUUCGGGCAAGGCCUCGGCUUAAGUUUCUUGGAACAGAACGUCAUAGAGGGUGAGAGUCCCGUCUAGAGCCGUCGGCCGCGUCCAUGUGAAACUCCUUCGACGAGUCGAGUUGUUUGGGAAUGCAGCUCAAAAUGGGUGGUAAAUUUCAUCUAAAGCUAAAUAUUGGCCAGAGACCGAUAGCGCACAAGUAGAGUGAUCGAAAGAUGAAAAGCACUUUGAAAAGAGAGUUAAACAGUAUGUGAAAUUGUUGAAAGGGAAGCGCUGGCAACCAGACUUGUGUGUGACAGUUCCCCCGGUCUUUUGACCGGGUCAUUCUGUCAUAUCCAGGCCAGCAUCGGUUCGGGUGGUCGGUUAAAGGUUCUAGGAAUGUAUCUACCUCCGGGUCGACUUAUAGCCUAGGACGUCAUGCGGCCUACCUGGACCGAGGAACGCGCUCCGGCACGGAUGCUGGCGUAAUGGUUGUCAGCGGCCCGUCUUGAAACACGGACCAAGGAGUCUAACAUCUAUGCGAGUGUUAGGGUGUCAAACCCUUACGCGUAAUGAAAGUGAACGGAGGUAAGAGCCCUCACGGGUGCAUUAUCGACCGAUCCUGAUGUCUUCGGAUGGAUUUGAGUAAGAGCAUAGCUGUUGGGACCCGAAAGAUGGUGAACUAUGCCUGAAUAGGGUGAAGCCAGAGGAAACUCUGGUGGAGGCUCGCAGCGGUUCUGACGUGUAAACCGAUUGUCAAAUUUGGGCAUAGGGGCGAAAGACCCAUCGAACUAUCUGGUAGCUGGUUCCCGUCGAAGUUUCCC